UGCAAGUCGAACGAAGUAGCAAUACUUAGUGGCAGACGGGUGAGUAACAUGUGGGUAUCUACCCUUUGGCCUGGAAUAACACGAGGAAACUUGUGCUAAUACCGGAUAAGUCUUUACGGAGAAAGCUUUACGCACCAUUGGAGGAGCCCGCACUUGAUUAGUUUGUUGGUAGGGUAAUGGCCUACCAAGACUAUGAUCAAUAGCUGAUUUGAGAGGAUGAUCAGCCACAUUGGGACUGAGACACGGCCCAAACUCCUACGGGAGGCAGCAGUGGGGAAUCUUGCACAAUGGAGGAAACUCUGAUGCAGCGAUGCCGCGUGAGUGAAGAAGGCCUUUGGGUUGUAAAGCUCUUUCGUCGGGGAAGAAAAUGACUGUACCCGAAUAAGAAGGUCCGGCUAACUUCGUGCCAGCAGCCGCGGUAAUACGAAGGGACCUAGCGUAGUUCGGAAUUACUGGGCUUAAAGAGUUCGUAGGUGGUUGAAAAAGUUGGUGGUGAAAUCCCAGAGCUUAACUCUGGAACUGCCAUCAAAACUUUUCAGCUAGAGUAUGAUAGAGGAAAGCAGAAUUUCUAGUGUAGAGGUGAAAUUCGUAAAUAUUAGAAAGAAUACCAAUUGCGAAGGCAGCUUUCUGGAUCAUUACUGACACUGAGGAACGAAAGCAUGGGUAGCGAAGAGGAUUAGAUACCCUCGUAGUCCAUGCCGUAAACGAUGUGUGUUAGACGUUGGAAAUUUAUUUUCAGUGUCGCAGGGAAACCGAUAAACACACCGCCUGGGGAGUACGACCGCAAGGUUAAAACUCAAAUGAAUUGACGGGGACCCGCACAAGUAGUGGAGCAUGUGGUUUAAUUCGAAGAUACGCGCAGAACCUUUACCAACACUUGACAUGUUCGUCGCGACUCUAAGAGAUUAGAGUUUUCGGUUCGGCCGGACGAAACACAGGUGCUGCAUGGCUGUCGUCAGCUCGUGUCGUGAGAUGUUGGGUUAAGUCCCGCAACGGAGCGCAACCUUCACUUUAAGUUGCCAUCAUUAAGUUGGCACUCUGAAAGAACUGCAGUGAUAAGCUGAAGAGGGGAGAUGACGUCAAGUCUCAUGGCCUUAACGUUGUGGCUACACACGUGCCUACAAUGCAC
rnacentral:rRNA from 1 species